AGUGAACGCUGGCGGUAGGCCUAACACAUGCAAGUCGACCGAGUGGCGGACGGGUGAGUAAUACAUCGGAAUCUACUCUGUCGUGGGGGAUAACGUAGGGAAACUUCCUCUAAUACCACAUACUAUUGAAUGAGCAGAUGUCGGAUUAGCUAGUGGGCGGGGUAAAGGCCCACCAAGGCGACUAUCCGUAGCUGGUCUGAGAGGAUGAGCAGCCACACGGGAACUGAGACACGGUCCAGACUCCGACGGGAGGCAGCAGUGGGGAAGAUGGGACAAUGGGCGCAAGCCUGAUCCAGCCAUACCGCGUGGGUGAAGAAGGCCUUCGGGGUGUAAAGCCCUUUUGUUGGGAAAGCGGUACCCAAAGAAUAAGCACCGGCUAACUUCGUGCCAGCAGCCGCGGUAAUUC
rnacentral:rRNA from 1 species